rnacentral:rRNA from 1 species
AACGAACGCUGGCGGCGUGCUUAACACAUGCAAGUCGAACGAGGUCCAUGGAGUAGCAAUACUCCGGAAGACCUAGUGGCGAACGGGUGCGUAACACGUGAGGAACUUACCCCGGUCUCUGGGAUAACAGUUGGAAACGACUGCUAAUACCGGAUGACGUCGGAGCGUCGCAUGGCGCGCUGACGAAAGGGUCACCGGAUCGGGAGAGCCUCGCGGCCUAUCAGCUUGUUGGUGGGGUAACGGCCUACCAAGGCAUCGACGGGUAGCUGGUCUGAGAGGAUGAUCAGCCACACUGGGACUGAGACACGGCCCAGACUCCUACGGGAGGCAGCAGUGGGGAAUCUUGCACAAUGGGCGCAAGCCUGAUGCAGCGACGCCGCGUGAGGGAUGACGGCCUUCGGGUUGUAAACCUCUUUCAGUAGGGAAGAAGCGAAAGUGACGGUACCUGCAGAAGAAGCGCCGGCUAACUACGUGCCAGCAGCCGCCGUAACAC